rnacentral:rRNA from 1 species
GGCGUAAAGCGUGCGUAGGUGGUUCGUUAAGUCAGAUGUGAAAGCCCUGGGCUCAACCUGGGAACUGCAUUUGAAACUCCAUGUCUAGAGGACUGGCGGAGAAAACGGAAUUCCACGUGUAGCGGUGAAAUGCGUAGAUAUGUGGAAGAACACCAGUGGCGAAAGCGGUUUUCUAGCUUUUUCCUGACGCUGAGGCGCGAGAGCAAGGGGAGCAAACAGGAUUAGAUACCCUGGUAGUCCUUGCCGUAAACGAUGUAUACUUGAUGUAGCCGGGCUCAACCCUGGCUGUGUCGUAGCUAACGCGAUAAGUAUACCGCCUGGGGAGUACGCUCGCAAGGGUGAAACUCAAGAGAAUUGACGGGGGCCCGCACAAGCAGUGGAGCAUGUGGUUUAAUUCGAUGCAACGCGAAGAACCUUACCUACCCUUGACAUCCAGAGAAUCUGUUAGAGAUAGUAGAGUGCCUUCGGGAGCUCUGAGACAGGUGCUGCAUGGCUGUCGUCAGCUCGUGUCGUGAGGUGUUGGGUUAAGUCCCGCAACGAGCGCAACCCUCAUCCACAGUUGCCAUCAGGUAAUGCUGGGAACUCUGUGGAGACUGCCGGUGACAAGCCGGAGGAAGGUGGGGAUGACGUCAAGUCAUCAUGGCCCUUACGCCCAGGGCUACACACGUACUACAAUGGCCGGUACAGAAGGAAGCAAGACCGUGAGGUGGAGCCAAUCCCCAAAGCCGGCCUCAGUUCAGAUUGGAGUCUGCAACUCGACUCCAUGAAGGUGGAAUCGCUAGUAAUCG